rnacentral:rRNA from 1 species
GGUUUUUGGUAUUUAUCAAAAAUCUGGCCUGCUCAAUGUAAAAUAAAUAGCCGCGGUAUCAUGACCGUGCAAAGGUAGCAUAAUAAUUAGUCUCUUAAUUGGGGACUGGAAUGAAUGGUUUAACUAAAUAAUUUUGUCUUAUAUUUAUACUUUUAAUUUUAUAUUUUAAUAAAAAAGUUAAAAUAUUCUUGAGGGACGAGAAGACCCUAUCAAGCUUUAUAAUUAUUAUUUAUUUUCAAAUUAAAUAAAAUAUUAUUUUACUGGGGUAGUAAAUGAUAAAAAUAUUAUUUAUAUAUUGUAGAAUCGAACUUUUAGCAAUCAAAAAAUUUUUAAAAAUAAAUAAGUUACUGUAGGGAUAACAGCAUAAUUUUUUUAAAGAGUUCUUAUCAUCAAAAAAGUUUGUGACCUCGAUGUUGGAUUAAGGUUCCUAGUUAGCGCAGUAGCAAUAAAAAGGAAGUCUGUUCGACUUUUAAAAUCUUCCA